AAGACUUGGAAUAAAAUAUCUAAAAAGCCACAUGGAAAAUAAUUAAAAAAGGAGAAGAAAAUGUUUUUGUGGAAAAGCAUCUUGAAGAGAUUUUUGGGCCUUUUUGGCUCUCUAGGAAAAGUGAAAGAGUUGAGUUUACUUGGUCAAUAAAUGAAUGAAUACUUAGGCUUGUGGAACACAAAAACAUAUGAUAGAAAAGACUUGACGUUGUUUUUAAUUGAGCUUUGUUAAAAAUUUUGGGUUUAAUUGAAAUGUUUUAGAAUAUAUAUAUAUAUAUAUAUUAAGAUUCUAUGGUCAGGACAUCAUGACAAAAUCUAUCAUGACCAAAAAUGUGGUUUUUUAUUAAGCUUUUUUUUUGGCCGUUGGAUUAGAUCAAUGGCGCAGAUUAGUUUUCCUGAAUCUUAAAUUCCUUCUCAACAUAACUUUUCGAGCUUCCCUUCAUGUCCAGACACCAUCUCCUACCUCACAAAUUCAAUACCACAUAGAAGUCGAAGGAAACCUGUCCAUUCGAAAUCCAUCGCCUAGAGCCACUGCUCAUGGUAGAGAAUUACCCAUCGAAGGACAAAGGAAAAACUCAUUGAUAGAGAUGAAUCCAUGGUAGAAGACAAUUUUGAGGAAAAAGGAUGUUAAUUUGGGCAAAAGAAGGAGAAGCUAAACUUGACAAAACAGAUACACUGAUUGGUGAAACUCGUCAUUUAUCUUGGCAAGUUGAAAAAUCAAAUAGUACUCUUGAAGCAAUUUAGAAGAAUACUUAGAGGAGUCACGAAUAUGAAUUUAAGAUUGUUAUAUUUAUUCUAGUUUUGUUAUUUCUUUUGUUUAAAAUAUUUGGCUAGUGACCAUAUAUGUGGUUGUGGUUAAUCUAGUUUUGGCUACUUAACAUUUAGUUUCCUUCUGUUAACUUUUUUGAAGACUAUAUAUAUGGCAAAAAUGGUUUUAAGCCGCAAAACAAUGCCAAUUUCAUUCUUAUA